UUUUAACAAAUGACGAUGAUAAUAAUUUCGAAACGAUAGUUGGCUAGAAUAGUACAAGUUGCCAAGGUUAUAUUGUUAUUUACAUCAAAUGUCACCGCGUUGUCUAGCUUGAAAUCCUCUUUUGAUUUUCAAAAUGGGAUUCUCUCGUCUGGAAACGAAAUAAAAAUGUUGGAGGUCGCUUCUUCUUCUUCUUCACGACUGAAACGUUUUUAAUCUAAUAAACAACAAGUCGGACUUUCAAAAAACAUAAAAAGAAACAUGUGGCAAGUUUGAAAAAAAAAUAAAAUCUUGUUUCUUUCUCUCUCUCUUCUUGUUACGAGGGCGGGUGCACGUGUCACGACGUGUUUCUCCGCUGUAGGUCAACGGUCUCCGGGACACAGGAUAUUAUUUCCACAUACACACAAGAGAACAACUCGAAAACCCUCAAAGCUGAUAGUAGUUGAUACACACAAUACCGCGCCCAGAAAAUUCAUUGGUACAUAUAACAGCAGCAGCAAAAGUUCAGUAGACAAUCAAGACUAUGUUGUUUGAUUAUCAACACGUUUAUACAUUUUAUUUCUUUCUUUUCUUGUCCAGGUUUUAUCAGAUAAAAGAAAAACUUGCUGCUCCGGGACUGGUCUCUGAAGGUGUACAUACAAUUGGCAAUCCAUCGACCAAAAGGUAAAAAAGAACAGCAAGUACCACCUAAGCCUUUGUGUCGACCGAGCCCCGUUGAAAAAAUAAAAAACUGUGCUGAAUGCCAAAUGCUGCUAUCCAAUAUGGCCCACCUUUCUCUCUGUCGGCGCUCACCUGGAUUAUUCUCUACUUUCCAUAUAUUCAAUAUAAUAAGAACACAUGCACGAACCACUCCGCCCGUCCCGUCCCGACUUGAUCGAUAUCAGAAAUGUUCCUGCAACAACAAGAGAGAAAACAAUUCAUAUUUUUGUUCGAUUUUUGUUUUAUUCGUUGGAGGGGGGAAGAAGAAGAUCGAUAAGAUCGUCACGCCGGCUUUCACCUGCGAGACUUUUUUUUAGACAGGUAAAUAUAAUACUGUGGAAGAUGAAAAAUAACGAGUCAUAAGCGGCUUCCCUAAAGGCCGUCUGAGAAGAAAAAGAUGAAGGGACUAAAAACGACCAAGAAAUCCGUAGAUGACGUCAGAGUAACAAUGGGACCCAAUCACGGGCUCAAUUCAUCAUAAAAAAAAAACAUCUCUUAUAACAAACCAAAGCGGUCCCGUUCUUUUUCCUUAAAUAACCUUUUCCUUGAAAAUCUUGUAUGUUACAAGCUCUCACGGAAAAUAAAAACCUUUCCUGGAUAUUUUUUUUUCCGAAUUCUCCUGGAAUUUCUCGCGCCACAAAAAGAGGAGCAGAUGAUUUCACAAAUUUUUUAGUUCCCCCCCUCUUUUACAAAAGAUGGUUUGAACAAACGAGUGUGUGGCACGUAUAUUCUGCUGGCCCUCCAUGUCCACACACACAACAGACAUUGGGGUGCUGAUGAUCUGAUGAUGGGCCGGUGGUUGUCGUCCCUUUACGUCUCUAUAUAUCAUCGGAAAACCAGAUGGACUCUUGUAUGUACACACGGUAGGCCUAUGAAGAAAAGGGCAGGUGUGCCAAUAUCGUAGGGCUGCUGCUGCUGUGUCGAUUGUCCUCGGCCAGGGGGAUGAAAAAAAGGGAACCGUUGAUGUACAUAUACCCUGGGCCCUUGGUGAUAUGGUUAUAACGGUCGCACGAGCCCCAGUCAACAGCAAUCCUCCCCUUACUAUACAUAUUCUAUCGCUCCGUUAUUAUGAUUAUGAUGGGCUAAAGCUCUUUUUUUUCUCCUAGAUAAUGCUGCGGGCCUUUUAAAUGGUGAGCGGCGAUUGAUACACAGCAGCAGCAGGAAGAGAUUUUCGAUCUGUUAUAAAACACCUCAAGGCUCCAGCCAGCUUCAAUUACAUUGUAGGUCGAGCAGUUCUACGAAUUUAGAUAUUACCAAGGAAAAAUUCGAUUUGGUUGAGAAUAAAGACAAUAGAAGCGGACUGCAACAGAGUA
rnacentral:lncRNA from 1 species